CUGAUUGGCUGUAGUAUUAACUGUAAAGUGUUUUGAAACAGUCUGAUUGGACCCUCUUUCUAUUCCAGGAACGACUACAGAAACUGGAGACGGAGAAGAAUAAAGUAUUAAAGAGCACAUCAACUCAAGCAACGGCACCUGAAGAAACAAAGGUGGAUAGAGAGAAGGUCCAGAGGCUGCUGGAGGAUCUGUGGGUGUGUGUAGCUCCUCC